rnacentral:rRNA from 1 species
GACGAACGCUGGCGGCGUGCUUAACACAUGCAAGUCGAACGGAAAGGCCUGCUUUCCCUUGUGGAUUGCGGGUGCUCGAGUGGCGAACGGGUGAGUAACACGUGAGUGAUCUGCCCCCAACUUGGGUAUAAGCCUGGGAAACUGUGUCUAAUUCCCGAUAGGACUGCAGGGUGGUGCCUGUGGUGGAAAACGAUUUUCUAGUGGUUGGGGAUGAGCUCGCGGCCUAUCAGCUUGUUGGUGGGGUAAUGGCCUACCAAGGCGGCGACGGGUAGCCGGCCUGAGAGGGUGGACGGCCGCAUUGGGACUGAGAUCCGGCCCAGACUCCUACGGGAGGCAGCAGUGGGGAAUAUUGCACCAUGGGCGGAAGCCUGAUGCAGCGACGCCGCGUGGGGGAUGACGGCCUUCGGGUUGUAAACUCCUUUCGACCGCGAGGAAGCCACCUGGUUGGAAGGGUGGUGACGGUAGUGGUAGAAGAAGCACCGGCUAACUACGUG